AAUGAACGCUGGCGGCAUGCCUAACACAUGCAAGUCGAACGAAGCCUUCGGGCUUAAUGGCGCACGGGUGCGUAACGCGUGGGAACCUGCCCUUAGGUUCGGAAUAACUCAGAGAAAUUUGAGCUAAUACCGGAUAAUGUCUUCGGACCAAAGAUUUAUCGCCUUUGGAUGGGCCCGCGUUGGAUUAGCUAGUUGGUGGGGUAAAGGCCUACCAAGGCGACGAUCCAUAGCUGGUCUGAGAGGAUGAUCAGCCACACUGGGACUGAGACACGGCCCAGACUCCUACGGGAGGCAGCAGUGGGGAAUAUUGGACAAUGGGCGAAAGCCUGAUCCAGCAAUGCCGCGUGAGUGAUGAAGGCCUUAGGGUUGUAAAGCUCUUUUACCAGGGAUGAUAAUGACAGUACCUGGAGAAUAAGCUCCGGCUAACUCCGUGCCAGCCGCCGCGGUAAUAC
rnacentral:rRNA from 1 species